rnacentral:rRNA from 1 species
AGCAGCAGCCGCGGGAAUACGUAGGUGGCAAGCGUUGUCCGGAAUUAUUGGGCGUAAAGGGCUCGCAGGCGGUUUCUUAAGUCUGAUGUGAAAGCCCCCGGCUCAACCGGGGAGGGUCAUUGGAAACUGGGAAACUUGAGUGCAGAAGAGGAGAGUGGAAUUCCACGUGUAGCGGUGAAAUGCGUAGAGAUGUGGAGGAACACCAGUGGCGAAGGCGACUCUCUGGUCUGUAACUGACGCUGAGGAGCGAAAGCGUGGGGAGCGAACAGGAUUAGAUACCCCAGUAGUCCCUGUCUCUUAUAA